UUACAGAUGGUUCGAGUGUAUUAUGGAUUGCUGCAACUCGUUUCAUCACUGUUCAUGACAGACACAGGAGGGAGAAUAGUAGAUUGAGUCUUCCCCAUGAGAGGGAUGAUAGGAAUUGGUGUUGGCGAGACCAGUUGCCUCUGUUUGGAGCUGUCUGACGGUAUUUACUGGAAAUCCGCAUUCACAAGUUUGACAGAGGUGAUAGAAACUUGCUGCUGGAAUCGACUUCUUCCCAUGGAUGCUCCAUGUAUUUACUGAAAUGGUGAUGAAUCUCCGGUAAAGGGCUGAUUUGAAUUCUGCACUCCCCACCCCCCCUUCACGCUGGACAAUUGCCCGAGUCUGUGUUUCUCUGUAGACGGAGGAAGUGAGGACUGCAGAUGCUGGAGAUCAGCGUCGAGAGUGAGGUGCUGGAUAAGUACAGCAGGUCAGGCAGCAUUCAAGGAAUAGGAUGUUUCUCUGUGGAUGCCAGGAAGUUUGCAGUGUUGGGAGGUGUCCUUUUCUGGGUGGGUUGAGGACAUCUUGUGUGUGGACUGUUCCUGUGUAUAAAUUGGCUGCUGUGUUAACUGAGGUGACAGUCAUCAGAUCGCACCGACCAUCUCAGCUCUACGACAAUUUAUGGACUUCCUGAGGAUGUGAAAGCGGCUACAUAAAUGCAAGUUCUUCCAAUCAUUCUACCUGACCAUUAAUCCCAGAUAAUGAUGAUGAGAACUUUCAAAGGUUAUUUCUGCAAUUUGUUGGGAGACUUCUGAAUUAACUCGUUUUUCAGAUGAGCAGUUGGAUAACAUAACUCUCAGAAUACAGUGAGGAAGCCUGAACUCGUUGCUGUUCUUUAAACGACAGGCCAAACAUGCAUUUAAUGAACAAAGUAUGAUGUUUAUUUUUCUUUCAGAACCUCAGAACUACGUGUUAGACCAUUUCUCCCAUUGUACUCGACGGUGGGAACAAACACAGGUAUUGCUGGGAAAACUGACAUUCUAAGAAAGGGUCACCAGAGCCAAAAUGUUAACUCUGCUUUCUCUCCACAGAUGAUGCCAGACCUGUUGAGUUUCUCCAGCAAUUUCCGUGUAUUGUUUCUGAUUUCCAGCAUCCACAGUUCUUUGGUUUUCUUUGGUGGGAGAGGUUUGUUUCAGGUCAAUUCUAUUGGUAUCCAAAUAUCUCACCAUCUCAGCCCCAAUAUACUCAAACACUGACAUUGAAACCCUCCAGGGUGCAGAAUUCCCAAGUCUACAACCCUCCCUCUGAAGACGUUUCACCUCUUCUCAAUCUGAAGUGAUUAGCCUCUUAUCCUGAGCCCGCGUCCUCUGAAUUUCACAGCCUCUCAGUGCCAAUCCCCUUCAUGAUCUUCCAAAUUUCAAUUCGAUGACCUCCCAUUCUUCAAAUUCUCUGAGAGAACAUUGACCCAUUAAACCAGUCCAUUCAAACUUUGUCACGCCACCUUGAAGGCAAAUAGGAGACCAAGGAGACCAAAACUAUCCACCUAAUUCCCAGUGUGAUUGAUUUUUAAUGCAGCCCUGCAGAAUUGCAGCAAGACCUCUUUACUCCAACCCCACCUGCAACAAAACCUUGUCUACAAGCUGCCUUCCUCUUGCUAGCUGUACCUGCAGGCUAAUUUUCAUGGUGCCAUGAAAGAUAACAGGAGCCACUUCUCCACCCAAAGAGUGGUACGUGUUUGGAAUGAGGUGC